rnacentral:rRNA from 1 species
GAUGAACGCUGGCGGCGUGCCUAAUACAUGCAAGUCGAGCGAACAGACGAGGAGCUUGCUCCUCUGACGUUAGCGGCGGACGGGUGAGUAACACGUGGAUAACCUACCUAUAAGACUGGGAUAACUUCGGGAAACCGGAGCUAAUACCGGAUAAUAUAUUGAACCGCAUGGUUCAAUAGUGAAAGACGGUUUUGCUGUCACUUAUAGAUGGAUCCGCGCCGCAUUAGCUAGUUGGUAAGGUAACGGCUUACCAAGGCAACGAUGCGUAGCCGACCUGAGAGGGUGAUCGGCCACCCGAGAAGUGAGACGCGGCCCAGCCCCCGGGGGGAGGAGCAAGGAGGGAUUCUUCCGCAAGGGGCGAAGGCCGGAGGGAGCAACGCCGCGUGAGGAAGAAGGGUCUUCGUAUCUAAAAACUCUUUUAUGGGGGAAAAAAAAAUGUGAAAGUAACUAUGCACGUCUUGACGGUACCAAAUAAGAAGGCCAGGGAAAACUCCGGG